rnacentral:ribozyme from 1 species
CGACCUACCCCGAGACCCACAGCAGGAGCAUUCAUGUUAUGGUCCCUGUCAGAUUCCUUGAAUCUGUGAAUUCAGCU